rnacentral:rRNA from 1 species
GACGAACGCUGGCGGCGUGCUUAACACAUGCAAGUCGAACGGGUCUGCCCUGUUUUUUGCGGGGUGGGUCAGUGGCGAACGGGUGAGUAACACGUGAGUAACCUGCCCCUCACUUCUGGAUAACCGCUUGAAAGGGUGGCUAAUACGGGGUGUUCUGGCUGUGCCGCAUGGUGUGGCUGGGAAAGAUUCACUUUUGUGGUGUUUUGGUGGGGGAUGGGCUCGCGGCCUAUCAGCUUGUUGGUGGGGUGAUGGCCUGCCAAGGCUUUGACGGGUAGCCGGCCUGAGAGGGUGGGCGGUCAAGCUGGGACUGAGAUACGGCCCAGACUCCUGCGGGAGGCAGCAGUGGGGGGUAUUGCACAAUGGGCGGAAGCCUGAUGCAGCGACGUCGCGUGAGGGAUGGAGGCCUUCGGGUUGUGAACCUCUUUCGCCGGUGAAGAAGGUCCUGCUCUUUGUGGUGGGGUUGACGGUAGCCGGGUUAUGAAGCGCCGGCUAACUACGUG